rnacentral:lncRNA from 1 species
UGCAACGAGAAACUCUCAGCUUCUGGUGCAGUGCUUUCACUUCGAUGAAGAGUUUGACCACUUUUCUGUCCGAAUUGGAAAAAGUGGUACAUCAAAGUUGUAGUCCUGCCUCUUAUCUUUCUAAUGGUCAAAAAAUCAGGUCAAUUGGACUUCUUUAGUGGGAGAUAUGAUAGAAAAACUGAAACAUAUGCAAACUAAGACUAUUUCUCGCUGCAGCGAGAAACUUGCUGCCAUGCUUGCUACCUUGCUUGAUUUUGACCUAUUUUUCACCCAUUUAACUUCAUGGAUUGAUCAUGGGUUUUUGCAACACUAUGAAGUUAGCGAUCAAAGUUUGAUAUGAGGGGUUUUUUAGUAAAAAAUUAAAUCAAUUGCAUUUUUUUUUAAACAAGUGCAUCAUGAUUUCCAAAUUCUUUCUAUCGAUUGCUUGUUCCCUUCUUAUGUUUACUCACUGAGUUUAUACUCACAUUUUUAAACUUCAUGUUUUCAGAUUCAAAGACAAGUUAGGACUUAGAUUGAGCGGUCCACGUAUGCUCAUCUUUUUGGUAGGUACUAUUACAACUCAGUAGCUGUAUCUUCACCCAAAGUCACUCCGUUGACGGUCAAGAGUCUUAUGCUUGUGUACAUGUAUAAGUAAUGAAGACCACUAAGAUUCAUGUUAAAAAUCAAAUAUGUAUAUUUGAUUACUGAUGCCACUAUAAGGUGGCAAAUGAGUGAUACUAUGUUAGCAUAAUACAAAUCUGAAUAUUGGAUUGCUAUAAAACGUUACUGAAAUAUUUAUAAUUGAGAAUUGUAAUAUGUGGUUUUAGAAAUGACGGUUGAGAAUGAUGAUUGGGAUUGCAUAAAAAAAAAAAGCUUGCUUGGGCUUAGUGGGCUAUGCCCGGUUGAGAAUGAUGAUUGGGAUUGCAUAAAAAAAAAAAGCUUGCUUAGGCUUAGUGGGCUAUGCCCAUUGGGCCCAUGCACUGGUCAUGACCAAAGAUUUGGGCUGUGACAUUAAGG